rnacentral:tRNA from 1 species
AUGCACUUAGUUUAAUAAGAAUAAAAGCUUGUCGUGCUUUUGGUGACUAGUAAGAUUUGUGGUCAGUGUAUG